UUCCAAUCUAUUAGAAUCAACUGAAAUUUGGAGCUAUGCCUCCUCCUUCCUGUCCUUUGCUAAGGUAAUUGCUUUUGAAAGACAACUUCCAACUUUUUGUUCGUUAUGGGCAAAGCCAAGGUGAGACACAGAGAGAUGAACAAUCAGUUUCUUUUCUUUUACAAAUCAUUUGAUGCGUUAACUAAUGUCACAAGAGGAGCCACUGUUCUGGGACCAGCUGAGGAAGACUAAGACUGGCAGCAACUACUGCCAAACACACAGAAGAAUGGCCUGGGUCAUGUGCUUAAAAUGCCUAAUUCCUUUCCGAUUCUGGAAUUGUUGUUCACCAGCCCACAGACCCAGCCCGUGAAGCAGCAGGACGCACGUUGAAGGCCAAGCCACCCAACAACCUUCAGACACCAGGGGACAGGGGUAAUUCAAUCGUCCCCCUGCGCCUCUGCCUCUUGCAGGCAGUCUCUCCCUGUCCAAGUGGUGCUGCAGAAGUCUCCUGGUGUGCACACAUUCUUAUUGCCCCUCAUCAGGAAGGGCUUCAGUGAGAAGGAUGCCGAGAUAAUUGACUGCUUCAGGUGAAAGUCUCCUGUAGGGAGCUCUGUAAAGCUGUGUUCAGAAGCACUUUGGCUUGCUAAUUCAUUAAGCAGACAGUGCUAAAAAAGACUUGCUAAUAGGGUUCCAUGUGUUGAGAAAGCCUGGUAGAUAGCAAUCAACAGAUUGCAAAUAGAGUUGGAGUGCACGGUGCUCUCACCACGGAAGGUACAGAUGAUCAUCAGCCUUUAAUUGUUUUGAAAGCUGACAAAAAAAAAAUCACAAUCCAAUCUUGAUAUUAUUUCCUCUUAAGCCCACAGCAAAAUGCAAAUUAUGCAGUAUUAAUUUUGUUAUCAAAUAAAUGUGAUGAU